UCCGGUGACCAUGGCGGAGGGGCCACACCCGAUCCCAUCCCGAACUCGGAAGUUAAGCCCUCCAGCGCCGAUGGUACUGCAGGGGAAGCCCUGUGGGAGAGUAGGACGUCGCCGGAU
rnacentral:rRNA from 1 species